UGGCGGACGGGUGAGUAACGCGUGGAAAACCUGCCGUAUACUGGGGGAUAACACUUAGAAAUAGGUGCUAAUACCGCAUAAGCGCACAGCUUCGCAUGAAGCGGUGUGAAAAACUCUGGUGGUAUACGAUGGUUCCGCGUCUGAUUAGCUAGUUGGUGGGGUAAUGGCCUACCAAGGCAACGAUCAGUAGCCGGCCUGAGAGGGUGAACAGCCACAUUGGGACUGAGACACGGCCCAAACUCCUACGGAAGGCAGCAG
rnacentral:rRNA from 1 species